UACGUCUACAGCUUCCCACCCC
rnacentral:siRNA from 1 species